rnacentral:rRNA from 1 species
UACGAAGGGGGCUAGCGUUACUCGGAUUGACUGGGCGUAAAGGGCGCGUAGGCGGCUUGUACAGUCAGACGUGAAAUUCCUGGGCUCAACCUGGGGGCUGCGUUUGAUACGUGCGGGCUUGAGUUCGGAAGAGGGUCGUGGAAUUCCCAGUGUAGAGGUGAAAUUCGUAGAUAUUGGGAAGAACACCGGUGGCGAAGGCGGUUCUCUGGGCCUUACCUGACGCUGAGGAGCGAAAGCGUGGGGAGCGAACAGG